UUCAUAAAUUCAUAAACGAUAAUGCUGGAAAUUGGGAUCGGUCAACUGGCGCAUUGUUGGCCCUGCUUUAUUUAAUCCCCCCGACAGCGCAUGGGCGAGGGAAAGGUGCGCGGUGCAAAAUUGAAGAUGCGGAAUCUAGACUUGUAAAAUAUUUUAAAAGUGGAACGCCAUUGCAGUCAAUUUUAGAUACUUGGGAUUCGGAUAUCAGUCAACCCACUUUGGUGUACUUGGGCGACGAUAAAACAAAUCCGUCGACAUUUUUCAUCAUUUGUGACAAGUUGGCCCUUCCGCUGAAUGCCAGUAAUUCUACAGAGGCCAUCGACUCUCUUUUUAAGGCUCAUUAUGUGAUCGGGACAAAA